rnacentral:rRNA from 1 species
AUUCCAGCUCCAAUAGCGUAUAUUAAAGUUGUUGCGGUUAAAAAGCUCGUAGUCGGAUUUCUGUUGAGAGCAGCCGGUCCACCUUUUGGGUGAGUAUCUGGAUUGAUCUCGGCAUCCUCUCGAAAAACGUUUCUGCGCUUGAUUGCGUGGUACGGGGUUCGAGACUUUUACUUUGAGGAAAUUAGAGUGUUCACGGCAGGCAUACGCCUUGAAUAUAUUAGCAUGGAAUAAUACUAUAGGAUUUCGGUUCUAUUUUGUUGGUUUCUAGAGCUGGAAUAAUGAUUAAUAGGGACAAUUGGGGGCAUUCGUAUUGACGAGUCAGAGGUGAAAUUCUUGGAUUUCGUCACGACGAACUACUGCGAAAGCAUUUGCCAAGGAUGUUUUCAUCA